rnacentral:rRNA from 1 species
UACGUAGGGUGCGAGCGUUGCCCGGAUUUAUUGGGCGUAAAGGGCGCGUAGGCGGCUACGCACGUCCGUUGUGAAAUCGCUCGGCUCAACUGGGCGGGGUCAGCGGAUACGGCGUAGCUGGAGCAAGCUAGGGGGCAAUGGAAUUCCCGGUGUAGUGGUGGAAUGCGUAGAUAUCGGGGAGGAACACCAGUGGCGAAGGCGGUUGCCUGGAGCUUUGCUGACGCUGAUGCGCGAAAGCGUGGGGAGCGAGUCCGG